GACGAACGCUGGCGGCGCGCUUAACACAUGCAAGUCGAGCGAGAACCAGUCCUUCGGGACUGGGACGAGCGGCGAACGGGUGGAGUAACACGUGGGUAAGUCUGCCCUCCGAUUCUGGGAUAGCCCGGGGAAACCCGGGACUUAAUACCGGAUAGCCUCUCGAGCUUUCGUAGCUCUUGAGAAAAGGUAAGCUUCGGCCUCCGAUCGAGGAUGAGCCCGCGGCGGAUUAGCUUGUUGGUGGGGUAAGUGGCCUACCAAGGCGACGAUCCGUAGCUGGUCUGAGAGGACGAUCAGCCACACUGGGACUGAGACACGG
rnacentral:rRNA from 1 species